CUCCUACGGGAGGCAGCAGUGGGGAAUAUUGCACAAUGGGGGAAACCCUGAUGCAGCAACGCCGCGUGGAGGAAGAAGCAUUUAGGUGUGUAAACUCCUUUUAUCAAGGAAGAAGAUGACGGUACUUGAUGAAUAAGCACCGGCUAACUCCGUGCCAGCAGCCGCGGUAAUA
rnacentral:rRNA from 1 species